AGCAUAUGGGGGAAAAAUAAGCUUCCUAAUAGAAGUACCCAAAUUUGGAUUAGGCUUGAUAGGAAAACAAAUGUGGAAAAUCCUGGAAAAUUUGCUCUUUAAGACCUAAUGUUUGAAACAAUUUUAUUUUUUAUGAAUUUCUUUUUGUUUUCUAUACCACAUAGGAAAUAGAAGUUUUAAGUUUGCAUAACUCUGUGACGGGGAUUUUUUUAAGUAUUAUGGAUUUCAUAUACUCUAUACCAAUGGUUCCCAGAUUUAUCUCACAUUGGAAUUACCUCAAGAACUUCAAAAAAUACAGAUACCAGUGUCCUACCCCCAGCAAUUAUGAUCUAAUUCAUUUGGAAUACAGCUUAAGUAUUAGAAUUUUUAAAGAUCCCAAGGCAAUUCUAAUAUACAGAAAAGUUUUAGAACCACUGCCACGUUAUGAAAAUUUGAACCUGUUGAAAAUUGUGGGUGGGUUCUCUACAUCCAGAUCUGUGUGACUCUGAAGUGCACAUAAGUGCUGAUGCAUACAUGAGAGUUGGUCCCCGGCCCCCAGCAGUUCCCCCAACACCACUCGAAGACUCAGUACUUGAGUGGCUUCUUGUGUCGUAGGCGCUGUUCCAAGCAGCGGUGGUUUAAGAAGAAGAAAAAGCCCCUGCUCAUGGACCAUGCGUUCUCGUGGGAGAGUCAGAUGUAUACCAUGUCAGGCACCUGUGUUAAAUCCUAACAGGAAAGUAAAGCAGAGUAAGGAGAUAGGAAAUGCAUGGAAAGGGAGGUGAGUUUGUUGAUUAUGGUCGUUAAAGAAGAUCUUUCUAAGGAAAUGAUCUUUGAGCUGAGACCAGAAGGAAGUAAGGAAGUGAGGCAGGCGAAGAUUUAGGGGAGGGUGGAGUAGAACAAGCUUGGCAAUUUGACUAGAGCGUUUGACACAAUGUGGGAGGGGCUAGAAAAUGUUGGCUCUUGGAAGCCAUGAUAGAAAAUUUGGGAAGGGUUUAUGUUCUUUAAAGAUCACCCUGGAUGCUGCGUGCCAAUUUUAUUGUAGGUAGCCUUGGUGAAAAUAAGGAGAUUUAGGGGACUCUUCCAGAAGUCUUUGCACCAAAAAUGUUGGUGGCUUAGACUAGGGUGGUUAACAGUGGAAGUGGUGGCGAGUGAUAGGAGUGUGUUUUAAAGAUACUGCCAACAGGGGGACUUUGGCCCAGGAAUUGGAAAGCAGAGAUGACAAGGAUGACUCAGAUUUUUGGCUUGAGGGAAAGAAUCAAGAUUUCUGUUUGCACUUAGGUGUGAGAUACCUGACAGAUUUCUAGUGGGAUCCAGCGUGGAGUUGGGGGACUGAAGUUGGGGGAGGAGUCAGGAGAUGAACAUUUGGGAGUUAUCCUGUGAAUGGAGUUUACAGUCAUGUGAUUGAAAGCACAAAAGUGAACAGAUCAGUGCGUCUCAAAUUUUAAUGUGCAUGUCUGUCACCUGAUUGUGGUAAAAUGCAGAUUCUGACUCAGUAGGUCUGGUGUGGGGCCUGAAAUGCCACAUUUCUAACAAGCUCCUCAGUGAUGCUGAUACUGCUGGAUCAGGGCCCCACGUUUUGAGGAGCAACCAUGUAGACCCUGAAGAGGAAGGAGCGGGCCUUGUGGGACUUCACCAUUUAAAAGAGGGGGGAGCCAGCAAUGGAAACUUCCAACAUCUCUCAGUGAAAUAAGCCAGGAAAAAUGUGGCACACCAAAAACAAAAGUGAAGAAAGUAUCUCAAGAAGGGAGGGAUCACUUAUUCAACUGCUGUUCAAGUAGGAUGAGGACUGUGAAUUAACCCUUAGGUGGGAGGGGGGCCAGUGGUGGUAAAUUUAACAGGCUGCAAGUUUUGAGGAUGAAGGACUAACUGGAGUGGAUUGGGAGCAGAAAGCAAUUGAAGUAGAGUCAACAACCAUGGACAACUCAAGUUCUGAUGUAAAGGGGACGAGAGAUGGGAUGCAGCUGAUGGGUAGGUGAGCUAAGAGGGGAUUUUAACUUUUAAGGAGAUAACAUAGUGUGAUUAUGUGCUGAUUGGAAUAUUCCAUCAGAAGGGGACAAAUGAAUGCUGUGGGGAGGAGUGGAUUACUGCAGGAAUGAAAUCUGAAUAGGCACAAGAAGAGAGAGAGCUAGGACUCAUGAAGGGUUAGUCUCAAGUAGGCACAGGGACAGUUCCUGUUCAUGUGUCAAAAGGGAAGGCAGUAUUUUUCCUCAUUCAAGCAUUUAUUGCCUGCCAAUUAUUUACAAGGCACUGUUUUAGAUACCGG
rnacentral:lncRNA from 1 species